rnacentral:lncRNA from 1 species
AAAACAUUCAAUAAGUAAAAAUUAACUAAUCAAAUAAUAAAAACGAUAUAUACAUCAAAACGUUUUCCUUAGAAUGGUGUAGCUCCGAGUAAAUCUAUCAAAACUGUCACACAACUAGAACAGCGAAAAUGUCUAAAAAAAAACAUCGAAAAACCAAUCGUUGCUACCAGAAUUUUCACAUGUAACUUUUCUGAUAUAAAGUCUUACCCGUUUUAAAGUUAAAAAGACACUGUUCCAG